rnacentral:misc_RNA from 1 species
CUGACGAAGGGGAAAAUGCGAAACGCCUUGAUCUUCUCGGGUCAAGGGGCACAUGCCAAGGGCAUGUGUCUUUCCCUCCUUGAUGACCCCGCGGUUGUGCAGGUAUGGGAACGCAUGACAGAUUGUAUGAUGCGCAAUUACGGCAUCUCACUGCAGCACAUCAUCCAAGAAAACCCAAAGAAAGUAGCGGCGCGUAGCGACGCUUUUGUUGUCGAUGAAGUCUGCAAGCGGCCCUGCACAGAGGUGCUGAAUAUGAAAGAGUCCACACGAUGCACUCACGCGAUCACACACCCAGACGGUGUGAUGCAGUUAACGUACCUAACGCAGCCCUGUGUUCUCGCCGCACAACUUCUUGCAUACGAAAAGUUGAAGCAUGACAAUCCACAGGUAUACAAUAGGCAAAUUUCCUGCAUCGCCGGGCAUAGCCUAGGUGAAUUUACCGCGCUUACAGCUCUCGGUGUCUUUAGUCCCGAGACCGCUCUUAAUUUGACUUUUAAGCGUGGUCUGCUCAUGGAGCAGGCUUGCGAUGGUGUCCCGCGCGGAAAUAGAAAACUAUACGCCUGCAGUCCUCAGCGAGCAAAUCUCAGCGACGACAGCGAGACGGCAGACCGAGUUUUUUUCGCGCUUCUUGAGGAGGUUGCACAAUCUCUUGCGCACACAUCCUCAUUCGUGGAAGUGGUGAACAACAACAUCAGGCAUCAGCAAUACGUCGUGGCUGGAGACCUUGUUGGGCUAGCUGUGCUGGGAAAAUGCCUGGAUCCGCAAUACCGGGCAAACUGUGCCAGCGGUGAGGAUGUUGAAUCCCUUGUAAGCCAUGCUCUCACAUCCGUCCGCAUCGACAACAGAGAUGGUGUGGCAAGAGAUCCGAAUAUUGCCCACGAUGUGGAUUUCGCAACGUCAUCAGCACAAAAGUACGGCUCAAGAUCAACGUUUCGCCGGUUCAUCAAGGGCGCGGACGACGGAUUUACGCCGUCACUAGACGAACUUACGCACCUCACCUUGGAGGAGGACGGUCGCAGUGGCCUUAAGAAGAAAUCAUGGUUUGUUCCUCUGAUCAUGGAAGUUCCAUUUCAUUCGAGCAAGCUUCGGCGCGCCAUGGAUGCGUUUCUUCCUGUCCUGCGCACAGCCCUGCCAGACGAGGCGGCACUUCGUGAGCUGUUAUCGAUUUCCAAGGACGGAAUUCUCGAUGAGGAGCGCCGCGUCCACCCUCUGUGGAUCACGAAUUUGACGGGGAGGGUAUUUGACCCGUUGAACAGGGCUUUUCAGCAGAGUGCACUUGAAUGCAUGAAGAGGGCGAAUAUUGGCGAAAUCCGCCACAAAGGCCGAUUUGAGAGCACUCUUGUGGUCGAUACAUUUAACAGCGGCGCCGCGGAAGGAAAUGUGAGGGAGAUGACGGCUGCAGUGCUGGCAGCUCAGCUCGCUCACCCUGUACAAUGGAUAACAGCAAUGGAAGAAGUUGUUGUGGCGCAAGGAUGCUCACACAUUCAAGAAGCGUCGCCGAAAAGGAACACAUCGGAAAUGUUUAGGCGCACUUCGUUUUUCUCUGAAGAUGACCGAAGCCGCAGCAUUUCACUUCAAGUGUCUUCCUUUCCAAGUGAAGCACCGCUUUUCUAGUUUCGGGGUUUUCAGUUCUUUUUUUUUGAGAAGUUGCGCAUCUUCGGCCUCAUGGGUUUAUUUCAAAGUUUGAGACUUUGUCGUGUACACUUCAAUAUAGGGAUAUAAAUAUGUCUGAAAUGUAAGUCUAUAGGGGCUUCAUUUUAUAUUGUCCCUGACUUCGCAGCUCCACAAAAGCACCUGUGGAAAAAAAAAAGACAUGUUUUUCCCGCGCUUUCUUUAUAAUGACGCUGCUUCGGUGGCCUUUUUGUGUUGCCGAUUCUCGAGACUUUCGCUGAAGUGCAG